ensembl:lncRNA
GUGGGGGCCAAGCUACCUCCCGGCUCCCUGCUCAGUGCUCUCUAGUGGGACCCGCCCCUCCGCCGGCGCCUGAGACCUAGUUUUGGCCAAUCUUUCCUAGGGACACCUGUCCUUGAGCUGUCAUCCUCCAGUCGGCAUUAGUAGCCUAGAGGGCAGAAGACGACGGUUGGAGGAACUGGGUGACCUGGCUCUGGUCAGAGUGCAGGCUCUGGGCCAGGCUGCGGGGGUUUGAAUCUGGUCUGUCACUAAGCAGCUGUGUGACCUCACGCAGGCACAAGCCACUCGCUGGGAGCAAGCAGCAGCUGGGGUCCCUGGACCACUGCCACAGCACGGGGGACCCCCAGGUGAGCAAGGUGAGACUCAGAGAAGCUAAGCAACUUGCCCAAGAUCACACAGUGAGAGAGGCCUGGAUCGGAAUCAAAGGACCCACGAUGCACAGAGGAUUCCAGAGAGCAGGUAAAACCAGCAUCGCCCCCAUCUGGCUCCAUCUGGCAUCGAGUGUGUGAUGGAUGGAAAGGGCCCUGCAGGGACACCCCCCCGCCCCGGGCCACUCUGUUGCGGGCUGGCUGACUCUGAGCCCUGAAAGUUCACUUCCAUUUAUCUGCCUGGCUCUGGCAGUCCUGUGGCCCAGUUGAGCAGUAAGUUCAAGAGCUGGGAGGAACCGCCAGCUAAACCAUCAUUUGACAGAACCUGGGACGGAUCGGACAGCGGAGGGCGCUGGGCUUCGGAGAAAGGCAGAACAUGCCUGCAAGUAGGACCAACCUGCUGUCUGGGUAGGUGGGUGGGAUUCCCCUAGAGCUCCAAGGGUCACUGGCACUUGUUUCCUAAAGUUUCCCAAGAGGGGCAGGAGGUGGGCAGAAUAGAGGGGCGGCUAGAUGCCUGGAAACUGCCCUGGGGGCGCCUGCCUGCCACCCACCCCGCAAUCGAUGCUCCUGGUCGGCCGGUUGUUGUUUAAGUACAGUCGGAUUCCCUCUUACAGAAGGAAACUGAGUCCUCACGUCAGAAAGCAGCCUUCCAGGUGAGCUGCUGGGAAAAGCCCGAACUCCCCCACUCGUUCCCGCCUCCUGCGCGUGUGGCCCUGGACAGAGGGAGGAGCCCCAGGAGGGACAAAGGGUGAAAUCCACAGCAAGAGGCUACACAGAGUUCUAGAAGGCAGAGUGGAUGGGACACCACGAGGUCAGCGACUCGAGUGGCUCUCCCAGCCCCGUGGCAGCACCUCAUGUGACCACGAGCGCCCCUGCCCAGCUCCCCCGACCAGGAGAGUGAACAGCUCCUUGGCUUGCUCUUCAUUAAUUCAUAAACUCUUGCUAACGUUUAUCAUCCUUCAGUCAUUAUUUGAACAGGGCCCCAUCCUUUACCCUUUUGAGGUCUUUUUAGUCCGUUUGAGUAUCCCUCUCCGAGUCUUCCACCCAUGCCCUGUAGCUGGUGUCCAGACAGACAUUGGCCACGGUCCUCCGGCAAGCCUGAUCCAAAGCUGGGACCUCCCACUCCAGGACCUCCAGCCCUUGCCCAUCGCUGGACUCUACUGUUAAAAAAUGCCAGACCAUUGUCCUCGCUCAUCAACCGGGAGCCACUAGGACCCUGGGUGUCUUUCUCUAUUGUGCUUAUUCACAGCCAAGGAAUCCACGAACUUUAUCAGCUGCCAUUGUGUCUGGCCUUGGGGAAGCCUUCGUGUUUUGUUGAACUGCACGUGUCUCUCGUUGGUUGGGGGGGGUUUGAACCUGCUUCUGCCUCCUGAGGGGCUGCCAUACCCAGCCCGUGGCACCAUGCCCCUGUUGCACCAUCCUAAUUUCAGCAUCCAAACAUCGACUUAGAAAAUCAUUGUCAUUCUCUCUAACGACUCGAAAUAUAAAGUACCCUCUUUUGUUCAGUGUCAAACUGCUGAUGGAAGAGCUGGUGGCAUCUGACCUGUCAAGACAGAUGUAUUAUCAUAUACGGAGACUGAAU